rnacentral:tRNA from 1 species
GAGGUAUUAGUAAAAUUAUUACAUAACUUUGUCAAAGUUAAAUUAUAGAUUAAAUCUAUAUAUCUCU